rnacentral:rRNA from 1 species
GAUGAACGCUGGCGGCGUGCCUAAUACAUGCAAGUCGAGCGAACGGACGAGAAGCUUGCUUCUCUGAUGUUAGCGGCGGACGGGUGAGUAACACGUGGAUAACCUACCUAUAAGACUGGGAUAACUUCGGGAAACCGUAGCUAAUACCGGAUAAUAUUUUGAACCGCAUGGUUCAAAAGUGAAAGACGGUCUUGCUGUCACUUAUAGAUGGAUCCGCGCUGCAUUAGCUAGUUGGUAAGGUAACGGCUUACCAAGGCAACGAUGCAUAGCCGACCUGAGAGGGGGGUGCGCCACACGGGAAGUGGGGCACGGCCCAGCCUCCUACGGGGGGCAGCAGGAGGGAGUUUUCCGAAAGGGGCGAAAGCCUGACGGGGAAACGCCGCGGGGGUGAUGAAGGUUUUCGGAUUGUAAAACUCUGUUAUUAGGGAAAAAAAUUUGGGUAAGUAACUGGGCACAUUUUGACGGUACCUAAUCAGAAAGCCACGGCUAACUACGU